UACGGAGGGGGCUAGCGUUGUUCGGAAUUACUGGGCGUAAAGCGCACGUAGGCGGUUGAUCAAGUUAGGCGUGAAAGCCCCAGGCUUAACCUGGGAAUUGCGCUUAAUACUGGUCGGCUUGAGUCCGGGAGAGGGUGGUGGAAUUCCCAGUGUAGAGGUGAAAUUCGUAGAUAUUGGGAGGAACACCAGUGGCGAAGGCGGCCACCUGGACCGGUACUGACGCUGAGGUGCGAAAGCGUGGGGAGCAAACAGG
rnacentral:misc_RNA from 1 species